rnacentral:rRNA from 1 species
AUUGAACGCUGGCGGCAGGCCUAACACAUGCAAGUCGAACGGUAACAGGAAGAAGCUUGCUUCUUUGCUGACGAGUGGCGGACGGGUGAGUAAUGUCUGGGAAACUGCCUGAUGGAGGGGGAUAACUACUGGAAACGGUAGCUAAUACCGCAUAACGUCGCAAGACCAAAGAGGGGGACCUUCGGGCCUCUUGCCAUCGGAUGUGCCCAGAUGGGAUUAGCUAGUAGGUGGGGUAACGGCUCACCUAGGCGACGAUCCCUAGCUGGUCUGAGAGGAUGACCAGCCACACUGGAACUGAAACACGGUCCAGACUCCUACGGGAGGCAGCAGUGGGGAAUAUUGCACAAUGGGCGCAAGCCUGAUGCAGCCAUGCCGCGUGUAUGAAGAAGGCCUUCGGGUUGUAAAGUACUUUCAGCGGGGAGGAAGGGAGUAAAGUUAAUACCUUUGCUCAUUGACGUUACCCGCAGAAGAAGCACCGGCUAACUCCGUG